CAGUAGCGCGGGAAUACAGAGGGUGCAAGCGUUAAUCGGAAUUACUGGGCGUAAAGCGUGCGCAGACGGUUGCGUAAGUCAGAUGUGAAAGCCCCGGGCUCAACCUGGGAAUUGCAUUUGAGACUGCGUAGCUAGGGUGCGGAAGAGGGAAGCGGAAUUUCCGGUGUAGCGGUGAAAUGCGUAGAUAUCGGAAGGAACACCAGUGGCGAAAGCGGCUUCCUGGUCCAGCACCGACGUUCAGGCACGAAAGCGUGGGGAGCGGACAGGAUUAGAUACCCGCGUAGUCCCUGUCUCUUAUACC
rnacentral:rRNA from 1 species